rnacentral:lncRNA from 1 species
GUUAAAUUGAGUUCGAGAGAGAGGCUCUUCCCUCUCUCUAGAACUUUUCUCCUCCCCCAUCACCUUCUCUUAUGAGCAUCAUCUGGUGGUUUUCUUGCCGCCCUUUGGGCCGGCUCUUCAGCCACCUCUGGUGUGGCUUUUCCUUUUCCUUUUUGUUUGUUUUACUUUGUCCUUUCUCCUUGCUUUUCCAUAUUUUGGCCCAUAUGUCCUUCCUAAUUCCAUCUCCAUCUCCUCUCCAUUUUCACUUCAGCCAUCACCCCUCUCUCACCUCCUCCUCCUCUCCUCCCCUCACCCACAUUUUAGUUCCUUCCUCUCCCCCUUCCAUCAUAUCUGAAACCCUUAAAUUCUCUUCUCUACCUAUGAUUUUCUUUGUUGUUUACUGGAUUAUUGCAACUACUUCUCCCCUACAACCCAUCCUCAAGUUUGAGCUUUUGCCAUGGAGGUGUGGGCUCUGUAGAUUAAUGGUCAAUUUUGACCCAUACUUGGAUCGAUUGAGUAUGAUAAAUAUUGGUGGCAUGCUCCCCCAAGUUCAUGCUCUACAGAUCCCUCUUGUUGGUUCCUUUGGACCUUCUUCUUCUGAUGGCGGCGCCAACAAAUUCGGUGACGGCAGUGGCAACUUGUUGUUUAUAGGGUCAGAUUUUAGGGCUUUUGUAUUUUUUGGGUUGUUUGUUGGUUUGGGCCUAGAUUUUGUACUUGGAAUUGGGCUUUUAUUUUCUUUUUUGGUUGAGCCCUUGUUUUUCUUCUUGACUUUGUAUUGGGCUUUUUGCAAUAUAUAUUUGGUACUGAC